AGGACCCACCCUGCUUUCUGCCUUUGAGCUCAGGACACCUGCUCUAACUUACCCCCACCUCCCUUUUCGGAUGACAUCAGAAGUGCAAAUCCAGUCCACAGUGCACAUGGCUCUCAUCCCUAAUGAAUGCAGCGGAGCCUCAGGAAUCCAAACCCUACUAUCCCCUCAACUACUAUCACUGAGGAGGCAGGGUGGAGUAGCAGUUAACACACUGGCUUUGGUGCCAGGCAGCCUGGCAUCAGAACCUGGCUCCACCUCAGACUGGCUGUGUGAGCUCUUGCAAGUGACUGGUCCCUCGGCAUGGCAGUGGCCUCUCUUCUGAGAAUGCAGGUCUCAGCAGUGCUCAUCGGGAAGAUGGCUGUGGAGAUUAAACGGAAACAGCCAUGUUGAUUUAAAUGACCUCAUUAUGUAUUAACUACGAAUCCUCUGAAGCAGAUGCUCUGAAGAAUGGCUGUUCUCUGAAAACAUUCUUUGAUGUAUUUUGGAGCCGUGUUUCUCAACCUUGGCUGCACAACUCAUAUGGAGAGCUUUAACAAUUACUGAUGAGAUGCUAAUGUAAUUGGUCUGGGGUGCGGCCUGGGCGUCUGGGUUUUAGAAGCUUGCCAGGUGAUUAUAAUGUGCCACCAGGCAUGAGCAGCACUGAUGAAGAUCAGGGGUUCUCCAAGUGUGGUCUCUGCAUCAGCAGCAUCAACUUCUCCCAGAGACGUAUUAGAAAUGCAAUUUCCUGGCCUCACCCCUGACCUACUGAAUCAGAAACUCCAGGUGAGUAAUAAGCCUUCCAGAUAAUUCUAAUGCAUGCUAAAGUUUG